GAUGAAGAACGCAGCGAAAUGCGAUAAGUAAUGUGAAUUGCAGAAUUCAGUGAAUCAUCGAAUCUUUGAACGCACAUUGCGCCCGCCAGUAUUCUGGCGGGCAUGCCUGUUCGAGCGUCAUUACAACCCUCAGGCCCCCGGGCCUGGCGUUGGGGAUCGGCGGAGCCCCCCGUGGGCACACGCCGUCCCCCAAAUACAGUGGCGGUCCCGCCGCAGCUUCCAUCGCGUAGUAGCUAACACCUCGCGACUGGAGAGCGGCGCGGCCACGCCGUAAAACACCCAACUCUUCUGAAGUUGACCUCGAAUCAGGUAGGAAUACCCGCUGAACUUAAGCAUAUCAUAAGCGAGA
rnacentral:misc_RNA from 1 species